rnacentral:rRNA from 1 species
GAUGAACGCUAGCGGCAGGCCUAAUACAUGCAAGUCGAACGAGAUUGUUGUAGCAAUAUGACAUGAAAGUGGCGCACGGGUGCGUAACACGUAUGCAAUCUACCUCUAAUAGGGAAAUAGCUUCGAGAAAUCGGAAUUAAUGUCCCAUAACAUAAUCGAAUGGCAUCAUUUGAUUAUCAAACCUCCGGGGAUUAGAGAUGAGCAUGCGCAACAUUAGCUAGUUGGUAAGGUAAUGGCUUACCAAGGCUACGAUGUUUAGGGGGUCUGAGAGGAUGAUCCCCCANACUGGUACUGAGACACGGACCAGACUCCUACGGGAGGCAGCAGUAGGGAAUAUUGGUCAAUGGAGGAAACUCUGAACCAGCCAUGCCGCGUGCAGGAUGACGGCCCUCUGGGUUGUAAACUGCUUUUUAUACGGGAAGAAAAAAUACUACGUGUAGUAUACUGACGGUACCGUAAGAAUAAGGAUCGGCUAACUCCGUGCCAG